rnacentral:rRNA from 1 species
UACACUCCUACGGGAGGCAGCAGUGGGGAAUUUUGGACAAUGGGCGAAAGCCUGAUCCAGCCAUGCCGCGUGCAGGAUGAAGGCCUUCGGGUUGUAAACUGCUUUUGUACGGAACGAAACGGCCUUUUCUAAUAAAGAGGGCUAAUGACGGUACCGUAAGAAUAAGCACCGGCUAACUACGUGCCAGCAGCCGCGGUAAUACGUAGGGUGCAAGCGUUAAUCGGAAUUACUGGGCGUAAAGCGUGCGCAGGCGGUUAUGUAAGACAGUUGUGAAAUCCCCGGGCUCAACCUGGGAACUGCAUCUGUGACUGCAUAGCUAGAGUACGGUAGAGGGGGAUGGAAUUCCGCGUGUAGCAGUGAAAUGCGUAGAUAUGCGGAGGAACACCGAUGGCGAAGGCAAUCCCCUGGACCUGUACUGACGCUCAUGCACGAAAGCGUGGGGAGCAAACAGGAUUAGAAACCCCUGUAGUCCC